rnacentral:rRNA from 1 species
CAGCCGCCGCGGUAAUACGAAGGGGGCUAGCGUUGUUCGGAAUUACUGGGCGUAAAGCGCACGUAUGCUGACAUUUAAGUCAGGGGUGAAAUCCCGGGGCUCAACCCCGGAACUGCCUUUGAUACUGGGUGUCUAGAGUAUGGAAGAGGUAAGUGGAAUUCCGAGUGUAGAUGUGAAAUUCGUAGAUAUUCGGAGGAACACCAGUGGCGAAGGCGGCUCACUGGUCCAUUACUGACGCUGAGGUGCGAAAGCGUGGGGAGCAAACAGGAUUAGAUACCCCCGUAGUCCCUGUCUCUUAUAC